rnacentral:rRNA from 1 species
AUUGAACGCUGGCGGCAUGGCUAAAGCAUGCAAGUCGAACGAGUACCCUUCGGGGGAAAGUGGCGAAAGGGCGAGUAACACGAUCGAACGUACCCCAAGGUGGGGGAUAGCGUCGGGAAACUGGCGGUAAUACCCCAUGUGCUCUACGGAGGAAAGAUUUAUCGCCUCGGGAGCGGCGAUCGUCCUAUCAGGUAGUUGGUGGGGUAAAGGCCCACCAAGCCGAAGACGGGUAGCGGGUGUGAGAGCAUGACCCGCCGCAUCGGAACUGAGACACUGUCCGGACUCCUACGGGAGGCUGCAGCGACGAAUCUUCCGCAAUGGGCGCAAGCCUGACGGAGCAAUGCCGCGUGCGGGAUGAAGCGCCUUCGGCGUGUAAACCGCUGUCAGGUCCCAGGAACACUGACCGGGACCAGAGGAAGGGCCGGCUAACCCUGUGCCAGCAGCCGCGGUAAGACAGGGGGCCCGAGCGUUAAUCGGAAUCACUGGGCUUAAAGGGUGCGCAGGCGGACCAGAAAGCA